GGCAAAGACAUAGUGAGAGAUUUGUGAAGGCAGUCUCUCUCUCUCUCUCUCUCUCUCUCUCUCUCUCUCUCUCUCUCUCUCUCUGCUACUGCUGCCUUGGUUGUCCUCAUAUCUUUAACCAUAACAUGCUGUUGGAAUGGACUACUGUAAAACUCUGGAAAGGCUUUUCUCCUAUUUUUUUUUUUGGCGACGAGGGUAGAGUGUAUACGUGUUGGCUGCAGAGGGGAGGAGCUGAGGAGUACAGUGGGGAGAGCAAAAUAAAUGAACAUACAACAAAAGCGAACGAAGGGGGCCGUGACAUCACACACUGAGCUGUCCUGGACAAUGCCUGAGAUGAGGACGAGGGAUGGCAAGCACAGCACUUCGCUGGGAAACUCUCUUUUUAUUUUUCUUAAUAUCUUUAUUCCAGGAAGUACACCUUUUUGACAGUUACACUGGAUUAUUUCGGUGACACUUCUCUCUCUUGGCUGGCUGGCCACCUGGGCUCCGAGCCCCUUUUUCGCCAUGGCUGAAUAGGAUUCAUCACAGGAACAACUUACUCCUGCAAGUGGCUUAAAAAAUCACUUUUAACAUUCUUGCAAACUCAGCUUAUUAGUGUCCUAGCCAUAAAGAGGCUAAAAGUCCAGGACUGUGGACUGGUGGAUUGUCUUUCACCUACAAAAGUUGCACAUUUUGAUUGUUUUGUAAGUUUGUCGAAAGACUUUUUUUCCAAAAUUAUUUCUUUCCAAAGUUAGAGCCUGUAUUGCUGCAGGGGUGCUAAGCAAAACAAAUUUUUACCAUUAUGUCUAAGAGGACACGAACCUAAUAGGGAAAUUCACACAAAAAGCACAGGCAACACCAGGGCAGCUAAAGACGCUGAAAUGACUUCUGUAGAAGGGGAACAGAGAGACAUGUACUACCUGGGACGAAUGCCAAAUGCUGACAAAAGACUUCACCGAACUCCCUUUCUCUCUGGGAGAAAUCAUAGUUCUUUAUUCUAAGGGUAGCUUAAAUCACUGGCAUUAUCUCUUAAUUCAAACCUGCUCCUUGAACAGAAGCCAAAGCUUGUUUUCUUGGCAUCAUGGUCAUAGUGGGCAGGGAGAUAGGAGGGUAUGGCUGCAGAGUGUUACUGUUGGCUCGGUUAGUUUCUCUCAUUUUCUCAUUUUUCUUUAUUCCCUUUUGCCAGCGAAGUAUCAAGACACAAAUAAUAUCUCAUCUCCCUCUUCUUAUGUCUCCUCCUUCUCUGCCUACCCACCCGCCCAUCGUGCUCCUUAGCCCUUGGCCCGAGUCGCUGUGCCGUCCUGCAGAAUUCAUACUCAGGUAUUUCCCACUUUUCCUUCAGUUUGGACACUGUUUUCCUCACGUUUAACUUUCUGCUUUCUCACAAGUGUUCAAUUUUUUUCCCUUUUAUGCUCAUUCUUGCUUCCUAUCGUCCUCAUUGUUCGCCUGCACACGUGUCUGCCUUCCCCCUGUCGCCAUUGCUACCAUAUCCACCCUUAUAAUGCGGUCUGAUUUAAGAAUUAUUCUCUAGUAAUGCCAUAUUAUUAAAAAAAUCAAACCGUACUUGAGAAGUGAAGACUUUACACCGUCUGUUAGUGACUGCAACUUCAUCAGAUUUCAUCCAUGCCUCCAUUUGUGUAUUCACAGUAAGGCUGAGCUCAAUCAUUUCAUACAACUUGUUUGUAUAAUGGCGGUCAAGAAAGCACCUCACAAAGAUGAGGUACAUGAACGUACGUAGUGUACCGUAAAAGCAACAAAAUUCAUUUUGUGUGUAGUCUAAUAAAUUGCACUGUAGAGAUUUUAAAAACAAACCAUUAGCAGCGUUUGUCUUAUAAACAACAAAGCUAACACGAUAAACCUAAAGAGAACAUAGUCUAUUUCUCUUGACACUGAGAGCUGUUCAGGGAAUCUUUAUUAUUGGCCUGAUAUUUAAUAAGUAUUGUAGAAUUGAUUGUGUAAAGAGAGGAAUGAACUCUGCUAAAGCAACAGGCAGCUUUGUAAAACAAUAGUAUUGAUGGAAUUACCGUUAUAUAACAUAUCUAUAACAGAAAGCAAGAAAAAGCAAGAAACCAUGAAUUAAGUCGAUUUAUAGUGAUCUCUUCUCUCACAUUACAGCUGCAGAAGAUGCUUUCAAGGGUUCAAAAUCUAAACAGUAGUUUAUUUUUGAUCUCACUAAUCAUGCAUUACAUGCAUACAAAAAUGCAGAGUAUAUCAUUUGAAGCAUGUAUACAGGAAAAAUAUUUAUUAUGCAUGCAUAUCCCUUAAAUUUGCAUAUAUUUAAUUCAUAAAACUUUCUAUUCAUACUUCCAAUAAGUCUGCUGCAUUUGGGUAAUGUAUAAUUUUAGUGAAUAGUUUGCGUGAACUCUCUGUUCAGUACUUAUGCCAGCAUACUGAUUACGAGUAUGUUCUGUACAACAAUAACAGCAAUAACUACUUUAUACAGUUUUUCUAUAGCAUAAAAAGGAUCAGUCUUCUAACCAUUUCAAUGCUAUCAAAGCGGGGGGGAGAUAUGGGUGUAUAAUGUUGUCCAAAAAAUGGAGAUUGAGAGAGCAGGAGUGAUAAAGGGUGGGGUGACAGGCAGAAAAUGAGAAGGAUUUCCCCUCCCCUCUGCUAUCCUCAGAUGAACUUGUCGUGUUACUUCAUGAUAUUUUCUUUCAGGCCUGCCAUCUCUACUUCCUGCUAUUUUUGUGUCCCCUCCUCCCUCUUUCUUUCUGCCUGUGUCUUUGACUAUUACUGGUAUGGUAACCAGGAAUAAAGUCACACUUCCUUUAUCAGGAAACACAUUUCAACUAUGGAGUUUGAGUAAAAGUGAACUGAAUUGUACACCUUUUUUUUUUUGCCUAUUUGGAAAGAUUUCAAAACCGUGGAUAUCUUUUUAUGAUGUGUCUAGCUGAAAGGUUUAUAGGUGUGUUAUACAAAGUUAGUCAAAUUUGCUUAAUUGUACCUAGAAAUACAGGAGUGUCUGCUUUAGUACUGGAGGACUUUCCUCUUUCCUAAACAAUUAUAGCAUUACUGAUCAUUUUCAAAGAUAAGAAUAUGACUUCUAUGAAGGUUUUUGUGUCUAAUCUGACACCACGGAGUAACACUGCCCAAACUUAAUUUACAGCUUUUGCCUAUGUGCCGAAUGAACCAAAGGAGAAACUAGGCUUGAUAACUGUUUUUGUUUGUUGAGCCACUAUCUGAGUGAUAAGAGAUGAACUUGAAGACCUCCACGCACACAGGACAGAGUCAAACUAAGUUGGCAGAAGGCAGACUUCCUGUUUAGAGAUGCUAUUUUUGUGUGCAGGGCGGUUUCCCUGUUACUGCUGAAUGAUAGAACGACUAACAAAAGUUAGCCUUUGUAAUAUUAUGGCAUUAUUAAAGUGACAGAAACAAUUAAUUGAUUCCAUCUGAAAAUCACCAGCUUUGCACAGUACAAAAGGUUACUAUAUUCAAAUAUUGUAGAUUAAUAUGCUUAUUCAGAAACUUAUUAGUGGAUUGCUUAAUCAACCUCCAAAUCAGUGAUUGAUGUACUGGGGUUGUUUAUUGAACAUGAACAGCAAAUGUAAUCAAUAGUUCGGUUCAAAACUUGCAAAUCUAUCGAACCCGAAAAGUUUCAUAUGGGCUCUAUCAAGGUUGUUGUAAAAACCUGUUUGUUUAUCACUUUCCCUUAAUAAAAUGUCAAAGUUGAAA